rnacentral:tRNA from 1 species
AGACUGGCGCCCAGUUGGCUAGAGCGUCUGCUUGCCAUGCAGAAGGUCGUGGGUUCGAGUCCCAUCAUCCG